UACAGAGGUCUCAAGCGUUGUUCGGAUUCAUUGGGCGUAAAGGGCGCGUAGGCGGCGGGGUAAGUCGGGUGUGAAAUCUCAGGGCUCAACCCUGAAACUGCACUCGAUACUGCUCUGCUUGAGGACUGGAGAGGAGACUGGAAUUCACGGUGUAGCAGUGAAAUGCGUAGAUAUCGUGAGGAAGACCAGUGGCGAAGGCGGGUCUCUGGACAGUUCCUGACGCUGAGGAGCGAAAGCGUGGGGAGCAAACAGG
rnacentral:rRNA from 1 species